rnacentral:rRNA from 1 species
UAUUGGGACCGCGGGACUCGGGGUAGACCCUUUGCCCGCUCCCAUCUCUCGCACAUCGUGCGCCUAGGCGCGCGUUGUGCGGGCUAACGAACCCCGGCGCGGCAUGCGUCAAGGAAAACUCAAAGAAGCGUUGAGCUCCCAUCGCCCCGUUCGCGGUGUGCAGUGUGGGAACUAACGUCUCUAUAAUGUCAUAACGACUCUCGGCAACGGAUAUCUCGGCUCUCGCAUCGAUGAAGAACGUAGCGAAAUGCGAUACUUGGUGUGAAUUGCAGAAUCCCGUGAACCAUCGAGUCUUUGAACGCAAGUUGCGCCCGAAGCCAUUCGGCUGAGGGCACGUCUGCCUGGGCGUCACGCAUCGCGUCGCCUCCCCCACCCACACCCCAUGGGGCGUUUGGGUGCCGGGGGCGGAAAUUGGCCCCCCGUGCAUUUUUUCGCGCGGCCGGCCUAAAUGUGAACCCGUGGCGACUCGCGUCACGACCAGUGGU